rnacentral:rRNA from 1 species
GAUGAACGCUAGCGACAGGCCUAACACAUGCAAGUCGAGGGGCAGCAUAAAGGUAGCAAUACUUUGGUGGCGACCGGCGCACGGGUGAGUAACACGUAUGCAACCUACCUGUAAGAGAGGAAUAACCCGGAGAAAUUCGGACUAACACCGCAUAAUACCGAUUAACUGCAUGGUUGAUCGGUUAAAUAUUUAUAGCUUACAGAUGGGCAUGCGUAACAUUAGAUAGUUGGUGAGGUAACGGCUCACCAAGUCAACGAUGUUUAGGGGUUCUGAGAGGAAGGUCCCCCACACUGGUACUGAGACACGGACCAGACUCCUACGGGAGGCAGCAGUGAGGAAUAUUGGUCAAUGGGCGAGAGCCUGAACCAGCCAAGUCGCGUGAAGGAAGAAUGUCCUAUGGAUUGUAAACUUCUUUUGUAAGGGAAUAAAAAAGCUUACGUGUAGGCUAUUGUAUGUACUUUACGAAUAAGGAUCGGCUAACUCCGUGCCAGCAGCCGCGGUAAUAC